AGUGUAUUAUGUCUAUUUUUGGUUUUUAGCUAUUUUGUAAGUUUUAAAGCUAGAUUAUGUGUUAGUAUAUUUUGGGUUACAUUUGGGAUUUUUUAGUUUAGGGUCACACUGUAAUUUAUUGUAAACAUUGGUGGUAGUAAUUUUAAGCGUGUUUUCUUUUCCCGCAGUAAUAUUUCUCGCCGACUGAUUUCUCGCCGCCGUGUCCUCCCCCGCCGCGGUCUCCUCCCCCGCCGCCGUCGGUUCCCCCGCCGCAGUCCUUCCCCCGCCGCCGUCAUUUAGUAAGAGCCGCCGUCGCAAUCGCUCCAGGAUGAUUUGAUAGCAAGCAAAACAAUUGUGGCAGGCCCUGCGGGAGUUUGGUUAGUUUUGGAUGCCAACAAUACCCUUCAAUUCAGGCGCAGUGGGAAUUUUUUUGCUGGUGAUUCGCAGUUGUGUCAGUUAAGUUUAAUGGUUAAAUAAUUUGUUUUUUAUUGCACAUUUGGUUUUAGUGUUAGCAGUUUCUGGAUCGCAUUUGUGUCAGGUAAGAUUAUGUUUUAGUUUUGUUUAUUGUUUAUUAGAUUUUUUUUUUUUUAUUUUUAUUUCUCACAGAUUAGUCCCUCGCAGCCGUCUCAAUCGUAGCUUCAUCUUUCUCCGCAGUCCGGUCGUCUGGAGUCACAGGAAGAGAUCCGUCCAGCCAGGGUGCCCUUAGCUGACUUUGGGUAAGGAUGUUGCUGGAUUUAGUGGCACGUCUAACUGGACUGUGGAGGACCAGAAAGGAUGGGUAAAUCUCCCGCCACAGACGUCUUAGCUUGGACCAGAGAGGAAUCUGUUGGCUGAGACAGCUGUGUGUCUGUGUGGGAAGUGUCCCUCGCUGCUGUCUUGUCUCAAGAUCCUUAUAGGAUUCCUUCGCGUCAGUUGUCGGCGUCCUGAGGUAUUCGAGUACAUAGUAGCUACACGUACUGGAUGGCUUUUUGUGUCAGAUAAGUUUAUAUUUUUAAAUUUGUUUAUAACGCAUUUUGCUUUAAAAGAUUUUUUAUUUAUAUUUCUCGCAGGUUCGUCCGUAGCAGCAGCCUCGGAUUUACGGAUACCAAAGGACCCUUUAAAACAGGUAAGUAGUUUUUAUUUAAAUUUGUUAAUUUAGUGUGUGUUUAUGAUUUUUUAUUUUUAUUAUUUCGCAGGCGCAGCGGAGAUUUCUUUUGCUGGUACUGGAUCGCUUUUUGUGUCGGGUAAGUUUGUGAUUUUAAAUUUGUUUAUUGCGCGUUUAGUUUUGAAUAAUGAUUUAUUUAU